AGUGUUUUGAAGUCCACUUAAAUAGAACUUC
rfam:Beet soil-borne virus RNA1 for 145 kDa protein, and 204 kDa protein.